rnacentral:rRNA from 1 species
CAGUCGCCGCGGUAAUACGGAGGGAGCUAGCGUUGUUCGGAAUUACUGGGCGUAAAGCGCGCGUAGGCGGUUUAUCAAGUUGAGAGUGAAAUCCCGAAGCUUAACUUCGGAACUGCUUUCAAAACUGUUAGACUAGAGAUAGGUAGAGGAUGGUGGAAUUCCUAGUGUAGAGGUGGAAUUCGUAGAUAUUAGGAGGAACAUCGGAGGUGAAAACGGCCAUCUGGGCCUUAUCUGACGCUAAAGCGCGAAAGCGUGGGGAGCAAACAGGAUUAGAUACCCCUGUAGUCCCUGUCUCUUAUAA